rnacentral:rRNA from 1 species
CCCUUAGACGUUCUGGGCCGCACGCGCGCUACACUGACCAGUGCAACAAGCAUCCGUCCUUGGCCGACAGGCCCGGGCAAUCUUUGAACGCUGGUCGUGAUGGGGAUAGACUUUUGCAAUUUUUGGUCUUCAACGAGGAAUUCCUAGUAAACGCAAGUCAUCAACUUGCAUUGAUUACGUCCCUGCCCUUUGUACACACCGCCCGUCGCACCUACCGAUUGAAUGGUCCGGUGAAGCCUCCGGAUUGGCGCGCACCUCGUUGCCGCCGAGAAGUUGGCUAAACCUUACCAUUUAGAGGAAGGUGAAGUCGUAACA